rnacentral:rRNA from 1 species
CCCUUAGAUGUUCUGGGCUGCACGCGCGCUACACUGAUGCAUCCAGCGAGUUGACCAAGCAAGGUUACAACCUUGCUUGGUAAAGUUUGGUAAUCUGAGCCUAAUGUGCAUCGUGAUGGGAAUAGAGUUUUGCAACUAUUAGUCUUGAACGAGGAAUUCCUCGUAAGCACGAGUCAUCAGCUUGUGCUGAUUACGUCCCUGCCCUUUGUACACACCGCCCGUCGCUCCUACCGAUUGGGUGCUCCGGUGAAUUGUUUGGACUGCUGUCAGUCUUUUAGGCUGUUGGCGAGAAGCUCUGUGAACCUUAGCACCUAGAGGAAGGAGAAGUCGUAACA